UACGGAGGUGGCGAGCGUUGCUCGGAUUUAUUGGGUGUAAAGGGUCUGUAGGCGGUCCUGAAAGUCGGAUGUGAAAUCCCACCGUUCAACGGUGGAACUGCAUUCGAAACUUCAAGACUCGAGUCAGGGAGAGGAGAGGGGAAUUCCCGGUGUAAGGGUGAAAUCUGUAGAGAUCGGGAGGAACACCAGUGGCGAAGGCGCCUCUCUGGCCCAUGACUGACGCUGAGCGACGAAAGCUAGGGGAGCAAACAGG
rnacentral:rRNA from 1 species